AGAGUUUGAUCCUGGCUCAGAACGUACGCUGGCGGCACGCCUAACACAUGCAAGUCGAACGAAGUAGCAAUACUUAGUGGCAGACGGGUGAGUAACAUGUGGGUAUCUACCCUUUGGCCUGGAAUAACACGAGGAAACUUGUGCUAAUACCGGAUAAGUCUUUACGGAGAAAGCUUUAUGCACCAUUGGAUGAGCCCGCACUUGAUUAGUUUGUUGGUAGGGUAAUGGCCUACCAAGACUAUGAUCAAUAGCUGAUUUGAGAGGAUGAUCAGCCACAUUGGGACUGAGACACGGCCCAAACUCCUACGGGAGGCAGCAGUGGGGAAUCUUGCACAAUGGAGGAAACUCUGAUGCAGCGAUGCCGCGUGAGUGAAGAAGGCCUUUGGGUUGUAAAGCUCUUUCGUCGGGGAAGAAAAUGACUGUACCCGAAUAAGAAGGUCCGGCUAACUUCGUGCCAGCAGCCGCGGUAAUACGAAGGGACCUAGCGUAGUUCGGAAUUACUGGGCUUAAAGAGUUCGUAGGUGGUUGAAAAAGUUGGUGGUGAAAUCCCAGAGCUUAACUCUGGAACUGCCAUCAAAACUUUUCAGCUAGAGUAUGAUAGAGGAAAGCAGAAUUUCUAGUGUAGAGGUGAAAUUCGUAGAUAUUAGAAAGAAUACCAAUUGCGAAGGCAGCUUUCUGGAUCAUUACUGACACUGAGGAACGAAAGCAUGGGUAGCGAAGAGGAUUAGAUACCCUCGUAGUCCAUGCCGUAAACGAUGUGUGUUAGACGUUGGAAAUUUAUUUUCAGUGUCGCAGGGAAACCGAUAAACACACCGCCUGGGGAGUACGACC
rnacentral:rRNA from 1 species